rnacentral:rRNA from 1 species
UGUUGCCUACGGGGGGCAGCAGUGGGGAAUAUUGCACAAUGGGGGAAACCCUGAUGCAGCGACGCCGCGUGAGUGAAGAAGUAUUUCGGUAUGUAAAGCUCUAUCAGCAGGGAAGAUAAUGACGGUACCUGAGUAAGAAGCCCCGGCUAACUACGUGCCAGCAGCCGCGGUAAUACGUAGGGGGCAAGCGUUAUCCGGAUUUACUGGGUGUAAAGGGAGCGCAGGCGGCGCGGUAAGUCUGAUGUGAAAGCCCGGGGCGCAACCCCGGGACUGCAUUGGAAACUGUCGUGCUG